CAGUCUUGAUCGGGAGAGGGCAGCGCACGCUGCCGCCGAAGGGGCAUCACCCAAAAACUCUCAGGCAAAAGGACCGGUCAGGGGUC
rnacentral:ncRNA from 2 species